rnacentral:rRNA from 1 species
UACAGAGGGUGCAAGCGUUAAUCGGAAUUACUGGGCGUAAAGCGAGCGUAGUCGGUUAUUUAAGUCGGGUGUGAAAGCCCCGGGCUCAACCUGGGAAUUGCAUUCGAGACUGAAUAGCUAGGGUACGGUAGAGGGAAGUGGAAUUUCCGGUGUAGCGGUGAAAUGCGUAGAUAUCGGAAGGAACACCAGUGGCGAAAGCGGCUUCCUGGUCCAGCACCGACGUUCAGGCACGAAAGCGUGGGGAGCAAACAGGG